CAUUUAUUUUGCCACACGUACACAUGUAUAUGUGUUUGUGCUCGUAUUUCCUUCCAUUUCAUUUGAAUGUCAAGGUGUAGGCAAACAUAAACAUACAAAAGCACGUUCUAUAUUCUUCCACGGCAAAAACUGACUGAAAUUACAUUCAAUUCACGCGCCUUUUCUGUUGUGUACAGACAUAUAAAUCUAUAAUCGUUGCAAUUGAAGAAGCAGGGGGCGUUUGUUUACAACCGGCAUUGUGUGGGAAUUGCGAAUAAAAGUGUGUAAAUAAAGCGAAGGAAAUAUGGUGGCAAAUCAGCUUGAAGGUUGUACGAGUCCUUAGUCGAGUGGGUUGAGCGCCCGCUGCCACCUAGUCGUUGGAAGAGUAGCUUUUAGUAACAAACGGUCUGGGAAUAAAAAUUUCCUCCAUCCAAAACUAAAUUUGAGGGGUCUUGAAACUUGUGUAAAAUGCUAUUCAUGUAUGUUUUACUAUAUUUGAGGCUCUUUUCUCCUUGCAAAAUGUCUUGAGUUAAGUAAAGUUGCAUAACGAUUGUAGAAUGGCAAAAUAUAAAACUGUCCAUCAAUCAAGCUAAAGCUGAAACCAAACAAAUGGCAAAUUGUUUUCGAACAAAUUUCUGACAAAUAAGUCGAUGAAGUUGAUAAUAAUAAUUACUCUUUUAAACCUUAUGUUUAAUGACGUUUCCUGGCAUGAUUUAAUUAAUCUUCGUUGAGUUUUUAUUUCUAAAAUUAGCAAUUCAUCUUCUCACAAUCUUUAAUAAAUUUGUUUAACUUUUCAUACAGAAGCUUAAAGCUACUCAAGAAACCAUGACAUGACAGGCUUAUGACAAGAAAGACCGCGCUUUAUCCAGCUCUAAUCUGCCUAUAACUUCUUCGAAAACAUCUUGUAUGUAUAUUUAAUAUUCCUAUAAGUCAAAAUAAAAUCUGGUGAAAACUUUUGCUACUCAUUCUAUCAUCGGUAAUUCAAUUCCAUAAAUUAAUUCGACCCACGCUGCGUCAAGACCAUAGUGAAUUAAUUCAAAGUACUUGUAAUAUUUCAAAAACUGCUUUGUCAUUCAUUAUUUUGAUAAAAAAAGAGAAGAGAAAGAAUAGUAAUUAUUAAUUUUCAAAACUACUGUAAAGACAACAACAGACCCAUUCAUAUAUUAUAACAUGAAAUGCCAAAACAUGGAUAUGUAUUAAUGUGCUAGUAAGUAAUUGCUAAUUCACUUUGAGUCAUUUCGAUUCUUCUUUGGCAGGCUUCUUCAGUAGUUAUGGUAGUUCUGAAGCUCGUAGCUUUUUGUUUUUUUAUUGUUUUGAACACAUCUAAAGCCUCCUAAAGUGCUCGAAACAAUUAAAGUGUAGGCUUUUAUGCCUAUGUAUUUAUGUUUAUGCUAUUUUUAGCGCGUAGUAGGCAGUUUAUUGUGAUUUUUUUACUUCAAGUUUGUAGCUUCUUAUUUUCUAUUAUUCUUACAAAUUAGCUUAUAGGAUUCAUUUUUCAAUACUGAACUUAUUUUGUUGUAUUGUGCCCUCAUAUAUGUAUGUCCAAAUAUUAUAACGAAUUCAAAUUCGGCAAGUCAUUGCUUGAUGGAGGAAUUACACUAUGGGCUCCUAAUGUAGCUUAUCUCAAUUCUUUAUAAUUUUAAUCACUUUACGAAUAUUCACUGUCAUCCUCGGAGGUCAGUCUUUACCAUUUCAUGCAAAUAAACUUAACUCUAAAACUGAUUGCCAUCGAGCCAGAAUGUCGCAAUG